CCAAUAGCGUAUAUUAAAGUUGUUGCAGUUAAAAAGCUCGUAGUUGAAUUUCGGGAUCAGUAGGUCGGUCGUGCCACUGGUAUGAACUGGUCUCACUGGUUCCUCCCUCUUGACGAACUGCAAUGCUAUUAAUUUAGUGUUGUAGGAAAUCAGGACUGUUACUUUGAAAAAAUUAGAGUGUUUAAAGCAGGCUUUGGCUUGAAUACAUUAGCAUGGAAUAAUGAAAUAGGACGUUCGAUCCUAUUUUGUUGGCUUCUAGGAUUGACGUAAUGAUUAAUAGGGACAGUUGGGGGCAUUAGUAUUCAAUUGUCAGAGGUGAAAUUCUUGGAUUUAUUGAAGACUAACUACUGCGAAAGCAUUUGCCAAGGAUGUUUUCAUUAAUCAAGAACGAAAGUUAGGGGAUCGAAGACGAUCAGAUACCGUCGUAGUCUUAACCAUAAACUAUGCCGACUAGGGAUCGGAUGAUGUUAAUUUUUUAAUGACUCAUUCGGCGCCUUAC
rnacentral:misc_RNA from 1 species